ACAAAAUAAUCUUCAAGUAGCUGAGAUUUAAGAACAAGAACUGUCGUCUUCCGUGGUUUCAAGGAAUUUCAUAGACACAAGAUAUAGCAUGAGAUCAGUAAGCAAAUAGCUCAUUAUUCAGCUGAAACCAAAACACUCAAACAUGAUUCUCAAAUGGACUUUUUACCUCGUUUCCACAUUUACAAGGCUUCAGAUGUUUAUCUGUCAAAUCCAUCGUCUCCAAGCAAAGCGGACAUUUCUCUUUAGCUUGGGUACUCAUGGUAUCUCGAGCCAAUACAGAAGGCAAUAGAAGAACUGAAAUAGAGAAAAGGAACUUCAUUAACAAUAAACUAAUAAAAACUGUAAAUAAAUCAGAAUGUUACAAGGUAUGCAUCUUAUCGAGUAGAAAAACAAUCAAGAGUAUCAAGUUUUCGCUAGACAUCCCUGUUUUCUGUUUAACUGAUGAAAAAAUAACAGUUGUUGAAAUCACUGCCAAUAGUGGCAAACGUUAUUGGUUGCAUUUUGUAAACUCUGGGUCCAAAGUCUGGAUGAAUCAAGCUACAUAAUAAUAGCCAUGCAUCUUGAAACCAAGUGUGUUCCAAAUGUGUUGGUAAGGAGAAUUCAACAGAGAGGUUGCAAAUUACUUCCGACUUCCCUCUACAAUUCAUAAGAUCUCUAACCCCCCCCCCCCCCCCCCCCGCCCCAUCACCGAGAAGUUGUCCUGUCCUGACAAACACUUCAUUAGGCUAAUAUAAUCACAAGAAAUUGGGGGUCCACAUGCAAAUCCCACACUCCUGAAGGUGCAUGCAUGAAAACCACACCUAAAUCUAAAGUCUAAUAGGCUCAACAAUGCAGGUUCGCGAAUAAAACACGGGACCCAUCUGAAUAUGAUAUUAAGCAAGUCGCUAUCAUUCCGCAUCAAAACCCUAGGUACAAAUUAAUAGCACGGACUCAUCAUUGAUCACUCCCCUAAAACCCCAACCCCAGAACGCCAAAACUCCCACAAAACUGAAGUAAGUUUUCACGGAGUUGAACUGCGGGUAAAGCAAAUCCAUGUGAGCUUAGCUUCGAGCACUUAAACACGUGGCAUUUUUUGGGGGAAGUGGAAGCGGACCCUGAUAGUAGCCCCAAAUUAUCAAAUAACCGCCCAAAACCGCCGCCUACGCGUGGCACAUUUCACCGCGAUCGAAAUCCCCCCGAGCAAUCGCGACAAUCCGCCGAUUCCGCCAUCCGAAAUUGCCAAAACGGCCGAAAAAUCCCCCCCGACAUACCAACUAAAAACCUCGGCCAAACCCCAAGCCCUAAGAAAAUCCCCAGCCCCAUGCGCUUCGAAGCACUAACCCCGGCGCCCAGAAGCGACCAGAAACGCCGGAAUACAGCCCCGAUUUAGCCCGAAAAACCCCGUACUGAAAACCCCACAUUGGCGGCGCGAAGCCCUAGCUAGCGGAACUGAAGCAUCGAGCGGCGGCGGCGAUCGGGGACGGGGAGCGGGUAGAGGACUCACGGCGGGCUUGAUCGGAGACGCGCGUGCGGGGCUGCCUGGGUCGCGCUCCCUUCGUCCCUAUCCCUCUCUGCACCUUCGUCUCCUCUCUCUCUGCUUCCCCCCCUCUGCUACGCCUGAAAGACGAACAGCUUUCACUCGUUUUUCUUUUU
rnacentral:lncRNA from 1 species